rnacentral:pre_miRNA from 1 species
AAAGUACUCCCUCCGUCCGGAAAUACUUGUCGGAGGAAUGGAUGUAUCUAGAUGUAUUUUAGUUCUAGAUACAUUCAUUUUUAUGCAUUUCUUCGACAAGUAUUUCCGGACGGAGGGAGUAGUAC